AUCUAUGGCCAUGCCAGCCUGAACAAGCCUGAUCCCAUCUGAUCUCGGAAGCUAAGCAGGGUCGGCCCUGGCUAGUACUUAGAUGGGAGACAAUUAGGAAGACCAGGUGCUGUAGGCA
rnacentral:rRNA from 1 species